UUAAUUUGUUUUAUCAACCAGGGCAGCUCUACGAAAGUUCAAUAGCGCUAUYAAUGUUUCUGAUCCAUCAGAUAAAUCCUUAUCCGGCGGAUAAAAAGCCACAUACAAAAUCUACGAAGUUGAUAAUUAUCCAGUUAGACCUAAUCGGCUUCAACCGGCCAAUUCAAACCACCCGGGAGAUUUGAAUUGGUAUAACGUACCUACAUACUGUUACAAGAUAUUUUCGGGAACUUGUAAGCUGUGGGACUUCUCAAAUAGAGCUGGUACUUGGAUCAAGAUACUUUUUAAUAUCAGACUUUAGAAUGAAGUUUACACACUGAGCAUAUCUAACAACAACUAACUGUACAAGAUGUCAAUCUACCUAUAUAGUGGAUAUCUUACAAGUAGGAUGACAGCAAAUUGUAGUCUCGUUAUACUGUCAAACUUGUAGUUCUUAUCCGACAGUUACAAUGGAAUAUUCGAAAUUGAUAGAAAAGAUUAGAGGUAAACCAAGGAGUCACAAGGUGCAACCAGACUUUAGCUUAGUUGAGGCACACAACUCCAACAAGACAAAAUAGAAAACCUAUCGAAAUAGUAACCUAAAUUAUAUUCGAGACAAAUGUAUUGGAAUCCUAAAAGACCUUAAAACAGCUAGGAGAAACGUGAUAUGUACGAAAUGGAUGUCAUAUUUUAUGUAUAACCAAUAUAAUGUCAAAUUAAGUAUCUGUUCUAUUAAAGCAAAACCGCAAGUGGAGCUUGAA